UCCGACCGGCUCGACGCCGGAACAGGCCACGUGGGGAUCUCGGGUGGCACUGACUAGACGCGCCCCUCCUCCUCGCCCCCGUGCCCGACCCGUCCGGGCGUCCGUGAUCCCGGUUCGGCCUCAGCUCGGGGCCCCCUCGGAAGAAGCCCCCCGGGGGGCACCCAUAAGGGCUUCUCCUAGGUGGGUGCGUCCUCGUGGAACCGGGGACCCUUAGUCCCCGGGAAGCACCCUCGUGGCGCCUAAACACCCCCUACCUCCCCGCACUUCUCGUGCCAGUGGCCCCGACGCUCAAGGGCUCCAGGACACAGGGAACUUCAACUUCCUAUUUCAAUGAAAAGAGAACUUUUCGAUAACGCAGCUGGUGGGCGGGCGCCCCCGAGCCGGCUCGGUGUCGGUGUUCUCUGUGCACUCGGGACUCCCGCCUGGCGGCUCCUGGCAAUGACCCUGCCAGUUUGGAGAGUGAGCGAGACCGUGGAUCUGAGCGCUUGCAGUUUCCGUGCGGAGCAGCGUGAUUACGGGGUUAGACAAACCGAGGGGAUCCCGCUCGCACAGCCACUCACCACAGGCGCCUUUCCGUUGCCACUUUGCAGGGUAGUUGGACUUUUUAAAAGGUGUGGGGUGAGUCUUGCGGGAGCUGAUAACUGCUGAGUCCUCAUGAGGGGGCCUGCAAUGUUCUCCCCCAGGGUCACCUUUUCAGGAGUGACCCGUGCCUUAUACAGAACGGAACCUGCCAGCGUUUUCACGGUGUGAGGUCCGUCAUGGUUUUCUGUCCUGGGGAAAAAAUCUGAACCACUGGGGUUCUGAGUUGUGUCCACUAAGACGCUGGCACACCUUGGCUGUAGAAAGGGUUAUUCUCCGAAUUAAGUAAAAUUUGUAAAGCUCUAAAUUUAGAGUUGAAUGAAUGAAGGAAUCAUUGUAGAUAUCUUAGGUAUCACUUAGUUAUCUCUUGAAAUGUGAGGCUUGUGGGGUUCACAGGUUUGCCCUAGAGUUUUUUUUCACUUAUUAGAAAAUAUCUAAUUUCACUGAUUAGGAAACCGAGUGGGACAUCCAUUUUAUCACGCUUUUAAGUGGGGGGGGGGCGGAAGUAGCGUUGCAAGCUGUGCUGUAGGGACGCCUUUUGCGGCCGUAUAUCUGCACCCAAAGCACAUGGCCGGUUUCCCCUGCCAUGGGUCCCUCAGUCUGGUGACUAGCACUCCCACACCGGGAAAUGCAGUGGUCAGGCUUUGUUUUCCAAUUGCUUUAUGUGUUGGGGAUUCCUCUUGAGCCAAACUGUUUCAACAUUUCCAUCUGAGACAGAAACAUGGGCUGAGAGACCCAGGCAGCAUGACAAGGAAGCAGCAGCUUGAGCCAGUGUCUAUUUAAGGAUCGUGGAAACUGAACAGGAUCAGGAGACUGUUCUCAACUUGCCAGCUCUGCCCCUGGGUAAACAAGUCCCAGGCUUCCUUUGGUUUUUAAAUCUGUUUAGAGUUUAUUUCAGUGUUUCCUAGGUACAAACUGUUGCCAGUGAUAUUUACUUUUUCCCCCCCUAAAAUUGGUACUGUUCCAGGCUAAUGUAACAAAGAGAUCAAGCCGCCACUGACAUUAUAUUCUCUGGAAUCCCAGAGGCUAGGAACUUAAUUCACUCUUCAUUUUACCCCUGGCUGAAAGUUACCAAGGAGGUUCCCAAGUGUGAGGAAAUUUUGGAGAAUGUAGCCUUUUUACAGGAAUUCUAUUCAAAGGUAGCUUUUUAUUCAUCAAAGGUAGCUAGUAGAUAACUACGAAACUUUACAAAACAAAAAACAAAGCCCCAAACCAUAAAGUGACGUGGUAUUCCUAAUGUGGUCCUUCUCGCUUUUCUCUCAGGCUCAGUCCAGUUCAAGAUGCUGACGAACUUCAGGGCUGGUGCUUGAAAGCAGCUUUUCAACAAGAUAAAGUGUAUUUGAAUAUGUGGUAAUUGAUACAUAGAGAAUAGAUGCUUUUGCUUUCUUUGUCCCUUUUGUGGUAGCAGGGGCGAAUUCUGAGAAGGUGCCAAACAGCUAUAAGAACAGACAUCUACCUGCCCCAUAGAGAAUUUUAUAGAAGGUAGUUCUAUUACUUAAAGUAGUCCUUCUACCAACCAACCAGCCCCAGACUGAAGCUUGACACCACUGUCUUGACAACUUUGUUGAUUUGCAAAGGUUAUUUUUAAAUCUCAUUCUUUUGACUGUCCUAAAGAUACGUUUCACAGUAGCCUCUUAAAAAUUUGGUUUUAGCAUAUGCUUACAAAUUUUUCCAUAAUAGAUCAUUUUAAUGAUUACAUUUGAUCCUUUUGACAGGAGACAGAUCAGUGGAUUCUUAAGGAUCAGUGAGGGGCUGGUUGCAAAGGAGCAUGAGGAAGUUUUGAGGAAAUGUUUUAUAUCUUGUUUAUGGUGGUGAUUGCAUUUGUCAAAUUUCGGGGUGAGUUGCUAAAUGUAAAUUACACUUCAAUAAAUGUGACUUUAAAAACG